CAUACUAUAAUAUACAUAUGUAACGUUGAAGAAGCAUAUAGCAUAUAUGUAUAAACAUGGCUCAGAACCGCUGACAUUCUCGAUGUCAUAAAGAUGCAUUUCCAACCUCCAAGUCCAUUUGCAAAAAAUGAUCCUUGCGGUUCUACAAUCUCUGAAAAUUUAUUGGUUGAAUUUUCGUGCGCGCACGCGCGCGUGUGUGUGUGCACAGUUUGACAUAUCUAUUUCCUAGAAAUAUCAAUACCUGUCCAGUGUCUAAUAAAAUUCGACUGAAAUAAACAACAUUGAAACAUAGCUAGAAUUCCAGAGUAUUAAAAGAGAAUUAAAAAGUUCUAUAGGGCAUUUCUUCAUGAUGAUAGCGGAUUGUAUGAAGAAAAUAAUAUCUAAAAUGUAUUUGGUACAGCUCAUUAACUCGGUUAAGUCUUUGAACGCAAUACCAUAUCAGAGUGGACGUUAUGCGCAUUUUUAGAGUACAUUUUAGAAUUGAUGAGAAGAGAAAGCUGAAGAAAGAUAAAAUCCGUACGUUUGCUAAACCUGAAUUUGCCAAUUAAAAUCUUUUAUUUCGUAUUCUGUUAGAGCCCUCCUAUUCAUUAUUAUAUGAUUCAUUAUUAUUUACUUAAAACCCAAAGGACAUAAAUCUUUCUAAAUUAAUUUUUAACCAAAUUUAAUGGAAACUUUACUAUUAAAAUAUGUUACUUAUAUUUACCUUACAGUCCACGUUUGAAGAUUCAAGAAAUUCUCAGGUAAAAUAUAUUCUUGUUAAAACAAGAAUAAAGAAUCUCAUAACAUUAUAAUUUUUGCGAAUGUCUCGAUAGCAAUUAAUAUGUUAUAUUUCAAUAAGAAAUAAUGGAACUGGCAUCGAAUCGACAUCAAAUCGAAAUCAUUAAUAAAUAUCAUUGUCGACGCGACGCGGAUUCGAUAAAUCAUUUUUUUGGAAUAAUUGUAUAUAAAAAUUCCACAAUACAAAUUUAUUUACAACGCUUUAUUUUAAACAAAACAAAUAAUGGUGCAAAAAGAUUUAAACUUCUUUACUCAAAGAAGAAAUAGAUUUUAAAAUAUCAAAAUAUUCGAUUUCUGUCUGUUUUUU